GGUACAUUGCUGAGCAAGUGGAGAUAGACGACGAUAAAUAGAUAUGCACGAAAAGAAAAGAAGCUAGAAGCGAAGCGGGUAAUAUCGGUAUUUGCCGAGCUGUGAGAACAUCUAAAUUUUCGAAUGGAUGAAAACAUCUUACAACAUGUGCAGGCUGUCCUGAAGAAUGAAGGAUUGUUAGAGAGGAAUAUGCCAACCAGAACUGCAAUUAGGAGUCAUUGACAGGAGGAACCUUUGUGACUUGUACGAGGAUGAAGCUUUCAAGCACCACACGCUACCUUAUCAACAUGCUUGAAGAUGAUCUGAGCCUGAGGAGGGACAAAGGGCCUAGUGAUCGACUACCUUUGUAUCUGCAAAUAUCGACAAUUCUGCGUUUGUAUGCUGAUAAUUUCAGGGAAUACAUGGUGAUGAGACAUCAGCUGUUGAGUGAUCAAAGAUGUUUCGCAAGCCAUAGCAAGAAGAAAGGUUUUGUGAGAACUUCAACAACGAGAGAUGAGAUUGAGGCUACCCAACAACAACUGUAUGAGCGUUGUGGCCCAGUGGAUUAGUCUCCCGGACCUUGAAACAGAGGGUCGUGGGUUCGAAUCCCAGCCAUGGCGUAAUUUCCUUCAACAAGAAACUGAUCCACACGGUGCUGCACUCAACCUAGGUGAGGUAAAUGGGUACCGGUAGGAAGUAAUUCCUCAAGAAGCUGUGAACGCCUAGCUUAGCCGGGUAAUAUAGGAGCGCCUUGAGCACCUAAUAAGGUGGAUAUGUGCGCAAUAUAAAUACCCUAUAUUAUUAUUUUGAGUACCAGUACUACAGGAAUUCAAUAGUCAUAGGUGUGAUCGAUGGGACCCAUGUCUAUAUAAGAUAAUAAGAAUUCCUGGAGGAACACAAGCUUUGUACUUUUUUGAAGGGCAAGUCCACCCCAACAAAGAGUUUCUUUGAUAUAAUAGAGAAAAGUCCAAUGAGCAUAACACUGAAACUUUCAUUAAAAUUUGAUGUAAAAUGAGAAAGUUCUGACAUUUUGAAGUUUUGCUUAUAAGUUAUUUUCACAAAACAUCUGUGCACAUCCUGGUCAUUAUGCAAAUGAGCGACCAAGUGACGUUCUCCAUUCACCGUUUCUUUUGAAAUAUAUCAUUAAAUAUGAUUUUUUUUUCCGCCUCAUAAUGUGUAAUACAGGUGUACCGGUAUGCUUUGAUUUCUCCCUGAAAUUUGUGUAAAAAGCCAUUGUGGCAACCUGAACUCAAUUCAAUGAAGACUUAUAAUUGUGAAUUCUGUAAAAAUUCAAGUUUUAUAAUAUAUUUCAUAUCUUGAUAUGCAAAAGAAAGACUGUGACAUAGACUUAAUUGCAUAUCACCUGUUUUGUGCAUAUAAGUGAUUUGUGUGAAUCUUUGAUAUGUCAUUACUUAUUUUACAUCAUAUUUUGAUGUUGUCAGUGUCAUGCAUGUUUUAUUUUUAUCUAUCCAUUCAAAGAAACUUUUUGUUGUACAGUGGACUUGCUCUAGAACAGGUAUUUUUGUAUGUACAUGUAAGAAUUUCAUUAUUUAUUUGUGUCUUUUCUUUUAACGCUUUUUUACUGGGGGUUGAAGCAACCUCCCUUGAGAUCUUGGCCAAUGAUCACGUAAACGCCUUGAAAAUUGGUAUGAUAAUAGUGGGGGAUGUAAUGUGCAAUGAAAUAUGGUUAAUUUUUCCGAAAUUGUCAGAUCUUUUAUAUGAAUUAUGCUAAUUUAUGUGUAAAUUAUACUUUUAUACCAUUGCUAUAAAAUGCUAACAAUCAAAUAUAUAAAAAAAUCCUAGUUUUAAAAUGAAUUUCUCAUGUAUUUUAUUGUUUUAUGAAUUUCCUAUGUAUAUCUUUGUUUUUCAACCUUUUGGUUUUCUUUAUUAAGAAGAUGAGAAAACUCAACAUUGACCUUUUACACAAAAUCCCAUUUUGGAGCAAUUUUGGGUCUGACAUGCACUUAUGUAAUGUUGAGUAAUUUUCCAACCGCAUACCAGGCAUCGUAAAUUUGGUCUCAAAAGAUGUGCAAGACUUCAAAAUAAAAUGUUGGCGAGCAGCACAGUCGUAUAAUUUAUCACAGUGGAAUGGUCGUGGAAAAUGUCGAGGGUGGGGGGGUUGAUUCAACCCCCCCCCCCCGCGGUUUUAGGGUUGAAAUAGCACAUGAUUUUUGAGAAUUUCACAUGAAUACAAAGGAAAUUAUCUAAUCUAUUUCUUUUUUAAGUAUUUGAAAUUAACUUUUAUCAGAUUUAAAUUCUUUCACAGACUACAUGUAUCUUCAAUGAUUUUUAAAUUUAAACAGUUUGUUAAAAAAAACACUAUUUAAUCACGAAGCAUCAAAUGUAAAUUCCUCAUUUACUUUUUCAUGUAAAAUAUUCUCACAUAUUUCAAAUUGUAUUUUUCAAAUGUUUAGAACUUUGAUAGCUCCCAGAAAGUUUAUUGCAUGCUCCAAAAUAUGCAUAUGUGUCCAUGAGGAUGAUGAGGUCAAGGGUCAUCAAUUUAAAUUGCUCUAAUUUCUUUGUUUUUGCAUUAGUUGUAUUUACAUUUUGCACAGAUAACCAUUGGGUAUUAAAUACCACAUGUACAUGUAUGUCAAAGAGGAUGAUAAGGUCAAAAGAUCAUAUUGCAUAGUUUAUUGAUCGUGAUAUCAGGCGAGACACGUGGUUCACCUUGUUUUUUGUUGAAAUGUAUUCUUUUCAUGUGUCCACAGGGCAACAUCCUAUCUGAGCCUUAUGAAUAGAGCUUGACUCAGGCAACUGGGAAAACACUAGCUUGGCCAGGCACAUGCACAUUUAGGGGGCAUGAAUGAAACAAAAGGGCAAUUAAUGUAUUUUCUUGGAAAAAAUAUAAUUUCAAUUGACCCCCCAAGGAUAACCUGAUGGCCUAGUUGAGGAAACCAGGCAGCCUAACGAGUAGAGCUUGACUCGGUCAACCAGAAAAACACCAGCUAAUAAUGAACACUAAUGAUUAUUCAUAUAGGCCAUUAUUGUAUUGUAAUACAAGAAUGUGGCAAGAUAUCAAAACCUGGAAUAAGUAUUUAUUUACUUCACAAAUAUUUGUAAUUUUACAAUAUGUUAUAAAAUGCCAAUUGAGUAUUAGAUUUUCAGUGUGUUAUAUUUUUAUGUAAUUUCCUGAUGUGAUUUUCCAAGGUACCAGGUGAUUUCAUGCAAAUUAAAGAUAUACAG